rnacentral:lncRNA from 1 species
UAGCCUGCGGCAUGUUCAACGGUGCAUGACGAGGCUGGUGUUGUCUGCGGGGUGUGGGAUUGACGGGCACGUCCCGCACACGAACGCAAAACCACCUCCACCAGAUCUUACGUAGUAGUGACGGUUAAGAGCACUGUAGCAAAAGCGUGAAUGGCGAAACGAUCUUUCUAUUGCGUGCACUUGUGUACCUAGAACCAAGUGACUUUGAAAGCACAACGAUAUCGGUGGACACAGUCCACGAUCGUCGAAAAUAUGAUCAGCGGAUCAAGCGUGUCGGCUAGUUGACUUCGAUGAAAGCCAAUGUCAUCCUGAGUGAGAAGUGGAGUGAUCAGUGAAUAGUAACUAUAUAAUUUAUUAAGACAAAUGCAUUAUAUACUUUACUAAGCGGAAAAUCUGACGAGUGUCCGGCGUUAAAAUGAUAUGGCAAGAAGAUUCACGUGCCGAAGUGACGAUGUCACGUUCACUGCACCGGACCUGUUCGCGCUGUGAAAUUCUACGGUGAACAGCGACGGCUUGAGACGGACGCUAUGGCCUAAUUCCAAGACUGUACUAAAGUGAAAUAAAGUAGAAUAGAGGGUAGAUUCAAGUGGAUUCAGGUUGGCACAAAAUAUAGGAAGGGGGAUUAAGGAUAGAAUAAAGAGGAUUAGGGCGAAUCACGGUGGACCUUCAAUUAAGGUGAUCAAUAAGGCAUACCCUAAUGCUUUCGCAUUAAAAUCGCUUCAGUAUACUUAAGAGAUUGUCAAUUUUUGCAAGGCCGAUAGCGUUCCCACAGACAGCGUCGCUGUCUUCGACCAGAGACACUGUGUCUCAAAGAAGGCGUUUCCAAAGGCUAGCUACUACGAAGAAAAAUAAUGAAGACAGUGUGCCCUUACCACUGGUGCCAUUUAUAACACCGGUACCAGCUGUGCUGACACCACAGGGAGCACCAUUCCCUGAUCUACCUUCUGGGUCAGGGAAAUUACAGCCAGCUCUUUAACCAGAAUCAGCCCACGAAGGAGGCUAGACACAUAUGCGGUAGAGGAAAGACGGGGCUGCGUCUCUGAAAAGGCGUUUGUGCUUGAAAAACACGCCAAUGUUUAGAUUAGUGUAUUUUACGCACGUAUCUAUAAACGCUUUUUAUUUCAAGCAUCAUAUUUGCAUUACCACUACUUCUUUCUAUGGAAGAAAUAUUUUGCGUGGCAUACUCUUGUAUGACAUAAUAUACUAGUACUCUCAUUGAUGGAACACUGCUAUGCUGAGAAGGUUGAACAACUUUGUUUAUUCCAGUGUAGUGGAUCGCAGUCCCACACAAGUGACAUAUGCCAGCCGUACAGUGCGUUUUGCAAACCAAAUCAAAGACCAUUCUGCCUUGUUAUGUAUGAAGAUGAUUACGACAUAGAGCAUAUCAAAGAAAGAUGCAGGUCCGCAAACCGGACCUGCACUGCGGCAAACGGUGAUUGGUUGCAAAGUGAUUGCCCUAGGCCACAUUAUCAGUAUGUGAUAGUAUGUGACGCUGAUAAUUCGGCAAACAAAGUCUGCAAGUGCUAUUGUGUACGCUACCUCAACGGACGUUGAUUGCACAGCCGGUCAUCAAACUCCAGACAAUUAGUUGCGGGGUGCCUUGAAAACCUGCUAAUUAGGGUGAUUUCAUAUAUUUGAAAAUAUUAAACAACU